GCCGGAGUGGUGAAACUGGUAGACGCGCUGGACUCAAAAUCCAGUGAACCUUGGUUCGUGCGGGUUCGAGUCCCGCCCCCGGCA
rnacentral:tRNA from 1 species